ensembl:lncRNA
ACACGUAGGAUGUCUAGAGGAUAAGGAUGGAUCCAGAGCAGCAAAUUCAAAGCCAGUGCAAGACUAAUGAUCUGGAAUCAUCUGCACAACCAAAAGGACCAGCAGAUCCAUCUUUCCUUGCCCCUUCUACACCACCGACGGCUCCAGCCAGGCCUCGGCGGCCCCAGAGGAGCCCGCGAGUGGAAGGAUCCUUUGACGUAUCGGAGCUCAAACCUCCAGAAUCUCCUGAAGAGCAGCAGCUGAGCAGCCGUGCUGAACCGACCGAGCCCAACAGCUCCAGUCAGCCCUCAGAACUCAGUGUUGAUCAUGGACCUCCACAUCCGGCUGAACAGAAGCUUUUAGGACACGCUGCAGUGUCUCGGAGCCACAUUUCAAUGAGGGCCGCCUCGCUUCCUCAGACCCCG